GACGAACGCUGGCGGCGUGCUUAAUACAUGCAAGUAGAACGCAGUUGCGAACGGGAGAGUAACGCGCAGGUAACUGCUUGGUAGCGGGGGAUUACUAUUGGAAACGAAAGCUACUUACGCACACUACCAGAUGGAUCUGCGUUGUAUUAGCUAGUUGGGGGGGUAGCGGCUCACCAAGGCAACGAUACGUCGCCGACCUGAGAGAGAGAUCGACCACACUGGGACUGAGACACGGCCCAGACUCCUACGGGAGGCAGCAGUAGGGAAUCUUCCGCAAUGGGGGAAACUCUGACCAAGCAACACCGCGUGAGUGAAGACGGUUUUCGGAUCGUAGAGCUCUGUUGUUAGGGACGCGGUACUUGACCAGAAAGGGACGGCUAACUACGUGCCAGCAGCCGCGGUAAUAC
rnacentral:rRNA from 1 species